AGAGUUUGAUCCUGGCUCAGGACGAACGCUGGCGGCGUGCUUAACACAUGCAAGUCGAACGGAAAGGCCCUUCGGGGUACUCGAGUGGCGAACGGGUGAGUAACACGUGGGUGAUCUGCCCUGCACUUUGGGAUAAGCCUGGGAAACUGGGUCUAAUACCGAAUAUGACCAUGCACUUCCUGGUGUGUGGUGGAAAGCUUUUGCGGUGUGGGAUGGGCCCGCAGCCUAUCAGCUUGUUGGUGGGGUAAUGGCCUACCAAGGCGACGACGGGUAGCCGGCCUGAGAGGGUGACCGGCCACACUGGGACUGAGAUACGGCCCAGACUCCUACGGGAGGCAGCAGUGGGGAAUAUUGCACAAUGGGCGCAAGCCUGAUGCAGCGACGCCGCGUGAGGGAUGACGGCCUUCGGGUUGUAAACCUCUUUCAGCACAGACGAAGCGCAAGUGACGGUAUGUGCAGAAGAAGGACCGGCCAACUACGUGCCAGCAGCCGCGGUAAUACGUAGGGUCCGAGCGUUGUCCGGAAUUACUGGGCGUAAAGAGCUCGUAGGUGGUUUGUCGCGUUGUUCGUGAAAACUCACAGCUUAACUGUGGGCGUGCGGGCGAUACGGGCAGACUUGAGUACUGCAGGGGAGACUGGAAUUCCUGGUGUAGCGGUGGAAUGCGCAGAUAUCAGGAGGAACACCGGUGGCGAAGGCGGGUCUCUGGGCAGUAACUGACGCUGAGGAGCGAAAGCGUGGGGAGCGAACAGGAUUAGAUACCCUGGUAGUCC
rnacentral:rRNA from 1 species